rnacentral:tRNA from 1 species
GGAGGUGUAGCUCAAAUAUAGAGCUCUUGCCUAGCAUGCCAGAGGCCUUGGGUUCCAUUCCUAGCACCUCCA